rnacentral:rRNA from 1 species
UUCGCAAUGCCCGAAAGGGUGACGAAGCGACGCCGCGUGAGCGAAGAAGGCCUUAGGGUUGUAAAGCUCUGUCGAGGGUUAUGAAAUGUAAACAGGUUAAUACCCUGUUUGUUUGACAAAAGACCAAGAGGAAGUCACGGCUAACUCUGUGCCAGCAGCCGCGGUAAUACAGAGGUGGCAAGCGUUGUUCGGUAUUAUUGGGCGUAAAGAGCACGUAGGUGGUUUUAUAAGUCAGGUGUGAAAGCCUUCUGUUCAAAGGAAGAACGGCAUCUGAAACUGUAGAUCUUGAGUGUAGGAGGGGAGAGUGGAACUUCUGGUGGAGCGGUGAAAUGCGUAGAUAUCAGAAGGAACGUCGGCGGCGAAAGCGACUCUCUGGCCUAUUACUGACACUGAGGUGCGAAAGUUAGGGGAGCAAACGGGAUUAGAUACCCCGGCAGUCCUAACCGUAAACGAUGGGCACUAAGUAGAGGGGUUUU